rnacentral:rRNA from 1 species
AUUGAACGCUGGCGGCAGGCUUAACACAUGCAAGUCGAGCGGGGUGAUGGUGCUUGCACUAUCACUUAGCGGCGGACGGGUGAGUAAUGCUUAGGAAUCUGCCUAUUAGUGGGGGACAACAACUCGAAAGGGAUGCUAAUACCGCAUACGUCCUACGGGAGAAAGCAGGGGAUCACUUGUGACCUUGCGCUAAUAGAUGAGCCUAAGUCGGAUUAGCUAGUUGGUGGGGUAAAGGCCUACCAAGGCGACGAUCUGUAGCGGGUCUGAGAGGAUGAUCCGCCACACUGGGACUGAGACACGGCCCAGACUCCUACGGGAGGCAGCAGUGGGGAAUAUUGGAAAAUGGGGGGAACCCUGAUCCAGCCAUGCCGCGUGUGUGAAGAAGGCCUUAUGGUUGUAAAGCACUUUAAGCGAGGAGGAGGCUCUUUUGGUUAAUACCCAAGAUGAGUGGAUGUUACUCGCAGAAUAAGCACCGGCUAACUCUGUGCCAGCAGCCGCCGUAA